AGUCGAGCGGUAACAUUUCUAGCUUGCUAGAAGAUGACGAGCGGCGGACGGGUGAGUAAUGCUUGGGAAUAUGCCUUAUGGUGGGGGACAACAGUUGGAAACGACUGCUAAUACCGCAUAAUGUCUACGGACCAAAGGGGGGGAUCUUCGGACCUCUCGCCAUUUGAUUAGCCCAAGUGAGAUUAGCUAGUUGGUGAGGUAAUGGCUCACCAAGGCGACGAUCUCUAGCUGGUUUGAGAGGAUGAUCAGCCACACUGGGACUGAGACACGGCCCAGACUCCUACGGGAGGCAGCAGUGGGGAAUAUUGCACAAUGGGCGCAAGCCUGAUGCAGCCAUGCCGCGUGUGUGAAGAAGGCCUUCGGGUUGUAAAGCACUUUCAGUAAGGAGGAAAGGGAUGUAGUUAAUAACUGCAUUCUGUGACGUUACUUACAGAAGAAGCACCGGCUAACUUCGUGCCAGCAGCCGCGGUAAUACGAGGGGUGCAAGCGUUAAUCGGAAUUACUGGGCGUAAAGCGUUCGUAGGCGGUUGAUUAAGCAAGAUGUGAAAGCCCAGGGCUCAACCUUGGAACUGCAUUUUGAACUGGUCAACUAGAGUACUGUAGAGGGUGGUGGAAUUUCCAGUGUA
rnacentral:rRNA from 1 species